UACGUAGGAGGCGAGCGUUGUCCGGAUUCACUGGGCGUAAAGGGCGCGUAGGCGGCGGCUUGAGUCCCUGCGUGAAAUCUCCCGGCUCAACCGGGAGGGUGCGCGGGAUACUGGGCGGCUUGAGGACAUCAGAGGAGAGCGGAAUCCCCGGUGUAGUGGUGAAAUGCGUAGAUAUCGGGGGGAACACCAGUGGCGAAGGCGGCUCUCUGGGGUGCACCUGACGCUGAGGCGCGAAAGCGUGGGGAGCGAACCGG
rnacentral:rRNA from 1 species